rnacentral:lncRNA from 10 species
GAAAAAAGUUAAUGUAUCAUUACAAGCGUGAGCCACCUGCCCGGCCCUAGGAAGGAAAAUCUUAACAGCAAAUGGUUAGUGAACACUUAAACUAUGGGUCAUGGCACUAUGGGAAGGACUUUACAUGUAUUCAUUCAUUUAAUCUUCACAGAACUCUGUGAAAUAGAUUUCCCAAAUUUUACAGAGGAGGAAACUGAGACUUGCUAAGUGACUUGCCCAAGGUCUCACAGCUAGUAAGUGUGGAGUCAGGAUUGGAUUCCAGGCAAUCCAUACUGUUAGUGGCUCAGAUACUGCCUCUGCAUCAGAAAGGAGUGCUGUGAGAGAGAAUAAUGGGAAGACCUAAUUCUCUUUGAGGAGCAUGGUUAGGGAAGGCCUAACCAUGGUGAGAAUAGUGUUAACGUCAUUAGGGUGAGAAGAAAGAGAAAUAAGCCGAGGAUGUCUUUGAUUGUGUAGUAGGGGUGGAAGGUGAUUUUGUCGGAAUGGGAGGUGAUUCCUAGGGGGUUGUUUGAUCCUGUUUCGUGUAGGAAUAGAAGGUGGAGCGCUGCUAGGGCUGUGAUAAUGAAGGGCAAGAUAAAGUGAAAGGUAAAGAACCGUGUGAGGGUGGGACUAUCUACUGAGUAGCCUCCUCAGAUUCAUUGGACCAGAUCUGUUCCGAUGUAUGGGACGGCGGAUAGCAGGUUUGUAAUUACUGUGGCCCCUCAGAAGGAUAUUUGGCCUCAUGGGAGGACAUAGCCCAUGAAGGCUGUUGCUAUAGUUGUAAGUAGGAGGAUGAUGCCAAUGUUUCAGGUUUCUAGGUAAAGAAAUGAGCCGUAAUAUAGGCCUCGGCCGAUGUGUAGGAAGAGGCAGAUGAAGAAUAUUGAGGCGCCAUUGGCGUGAAGGUAGCGGAUGAUUCAGCCAUAAUUUACGUCUCGGGUGAUAUGGGCGAUCGAUGAGAAGGCGGUUGAAGCGUCUGGUGAGUAGUGUAUGGCUAGGAAUAGUCCUGUGGUGAUUUGGAGGAUUAGGCAGGCACCAAGAAGUGAGCCGAAGUUUCAUCAUGCGGAG